CGUAAAGAACUUGCCUCACAGAUAGGGACAACAUUUGGAAACGAAUGCUAAUACCUGAUAUUAUGAUUUUAGGGCAUCCUAGAAUUAUGAAAGCUAUAUGCGCUGUGAGAGAGCUUUGCGUCCCAUUAGCUAGUUGGAGAGGUAACAGCUCACCAAGGCGAUGAUGGGUAGCCGGCCUGAGAGGGUGAUCGGCCACAAGGGGGCUGAGACACGGCCCUU
rnacentral:rRNA from 1 species